ACAGCAUGGACACCACUUCAUGUAGGGGCACUGGACUGCCUAGAGUUGGAGGAAGGGACCCUGUUCUCACAUCGCUUUCCUGUUUCCCUCUCCUGCAAUAUGGAUUUGACAUAUUAAUCAUUACAGCAACUGCUAAAAUUCCACUGUGCUUCAUUAAUCCGGAGGAAAAUACCAUGUCAGCUGGAACUUACUGUGUCUCUGUUUGAUUGAGCCUGGGCAUGAGAUAAAACACGAGGUCAUCUGCAAUGGCACUGGUGCUGUGGCUGUAUCAGCAUGGCUCUGAUGUCCCUUCGGGGCAGGCAACAGUUCAGGGAGGACUUACAAGCAAGCUCUGAUGGAGUCUCGCUCUGUCGCCCAGGCUGGAGUGCAGUGGUGUGAUCUCGGCUCACUGAACUUCCCCUCCCCAGUUCAAGCGAUUCUCCUGCCUCAGCCUCCCUAGUAGCUGGGAUUACAGGCCCCCACCACCAUGCCUGGCUAAUUUUUAAAUAUUUUUAGUGGAGAUGGGGUUUCACCAUGUUGGCCAGGAUGGUCUUGAGCUCCUGACCUCAAGGGAUCCACCCGCCUCGGCCUCCCAAAGCACUGGGAUUACAGGUAUAAGCCACCGCGUCCGGCCUACUCCCA
rnacentral:lncRNA from 1 species